UGGCUCUCGCAUCGAUGAAGAACGCAGCGAAAUGCGAUAAGUAAUGUGAAUUGCAGAAUUCAGUGAAUCAUCGAAUCUUUGAACGCACCUUGCGCCCCUUGGUAUUCCGAGGGGCAUGCCUGUUUGAGUGUCUUGAAAUCACCAAGCCGUCGGGUUCGUUCCCGCGUCUUGGACUUGGGGGCUCUUGCUGCCGUGAGGCGGCUCCCCUUAAAUCCAUCGGUCGGCUCCUGCUUGAGCGCGUCCUGGCGUUGUACACACCUCGCUGGAUAAGCUGCCCUUGUGGACCGGCCCCGACCUGCUGCAGAGUGGCGGUCACAUACUUUGAAAUCUGACCUCAAAUCAGGUAGGACUACCCGCUGA
rnacentral:misc_RNA from 1 species